GAUGAACGCUGGCGGCGUGCCUAAUACAUGCAAGUCGAGCGAACAGACGAGGAUCUUGCUCCUCUGACGUUAGCGGCGGACGGGUGAGUAACACGUGGAUAACCUACCUAUAAGACUGGGAUAACUUCGGGAAACCGGAGCUAAUACCGGAUAAUAUAUUGAACCGCAUGGUUCAAUAGUGAAAGACGGUUUUGCUGUCACUUAUAGAUGGAUCCGCGCCGCAUUAGCUAGUUGGUAAGGUAACGGCUUACCAAGGCAACGAUGCGUAGCCGACCUGAGAGGGUGAUCGGCGACACUGGAACUGAGACACGGUCCAGACUCCUACGGGAGGCAGCAGUAGGGAAUCUUCCGCAAUGGUCGAAAGCCUGACGGAGCAACGCCGCGUGAGUGAUGAAGGUCUUCGGAUCGUAAAACUCUGUUAUUAGGGAAGAACAAAUGUGUAAGUAACUAUGCACGUCUUGACGGUACCUAAUCAGAAAGCCACGGCUAACUACGUG
rnacentral:rRNA from 1 species